rnacentral:tRNA from 1 species
CCUGGUGGCUCAGAUGGUAAAGAAUUUGCCUGCAAUGCAAGAGACCCAGGUUCAAUCCCUGGGUCAGGA